AUACGGAGGAUCCGAGCGUUAUCCGGAUUUAUUGGGUUUAAAGGGAGCGUAGGCGGACGCUUAAGUCAGUUGUGAAAGUUUGCGGCUCAACCGUAAAAUUGCAGUUGAUACUGGGUGUCUUGAGUACAGUAGAGGCAGGCGGAAUUCGUGGUGUAGCGGUGAAAUGCUUAGAUAUCACGAAGAACACCGAUUGCGAAGGCAGCCUGCUGGACUGUAACUGACGCUGAUGCUCGAAAGUGUGGGUAUCAAACAGGAUUAGAUACCCUGGUAGUCCACACAGUAAACGAUGAAUACUCGCUGUGUGCGAUAUACAGUAAGCGGCCAAGCGAAAGCGUUAAGUAUUCCACCUGGGGAGUACGCCGGCAACGGUGAAACUCAAAGGAAUUGACGGGG
rnacentral:rRNA from 1 species